rnacentral:rRNA from 1 species
CACGUAGGGCGCAAGCGUUGUCCGGAAUUAUUGGGCGUAAAGAGCUCGUAGGUGGUUUGUUACGUCUGCUGUGAAAACCUAGGGCUUAACCCUGGGCUUGCAGUGGAUACGGGCAGACUAGAGUUCGGUAGGGGAGACUGGAAUUCCUGGUGUAGCGGUGAAAUGCGCAGAUAUCAGGAGGAACACCGGUGGCGAAGGCGGGUCUCUGGGCCGAUACUGACGCUGAGGAGCGAAAGCGUGGGGAGCGAACAGG